rnacentral:misc_RNA from 1 species
ACUACUUCUUACACUUUAGGCACUAGCUACUUAACAAAGGAAAAUGACGUUAUCACAUUGGAGGAUUGCACAUUCCUUUGGCUCUCCUUGCGGAAGAUGCUCAAUAACAACUUGGGCAGGUCCUAAUUGAAGAUUGCUAUUUUAUUUCUUUGAUAAUAUAUUUAAAGUUUGUAUGAUUGUCAUUCUGAUUUUGAGAUCACUGAUCACUUUAUUACAUUAGAGAGUUGCACAAUCCUUCAAUUAGUCCUUCUGAAGAUGCUUAAGAAUAAAUUGGUAAUGAUGAAGAAGAACCGUGGAUUGACCAUAUUUACAAGAAUUUUAUAUGGACUAUGAUCGAUCAACUUGGGUGUUUGGCGACAAUUUAUUCUGCA